CAGUGGGCCUGUCUGUCUCUCAGUGGGCCUGUCUCCUGGGCCUGCUGUGCUGAAUAUCAGUGCUCUCAGUCUAGCUGGCUCAGUUCAGCAGGAACAGGAGCCCUGUCUGCCGAGGAAGAGA
rnacentral:miRNA from 1 species